rfam:Clostridium tetani E88, complete genome.
UAAUUUCUGAAAUAUUUGAGGGUUCCAUAUUUUGAACCUACAGAUCAUAAACGGGAGUUCAAAAUUUAGAUAUGAAAUGACCUAUAAGACCAGUUUAAGGCAAGGACAAUGCAGUAUCUGUGAGAACACCCACCUAUCAGAAGAUAGGGUGUCAAAAUUGGAGCAAACGGUAUUUUGGAUUUCAG